GGGGAAUAUUGCACAAUGGGGGAAACCCUGAUGCAGCGACGUCGCGUGAAGGAAGAAGGUUUUCGGAUCGUAAACUUCUAUCAGCAGGGAAGAAUGCUCUUCUUAGGAAGAGCUUGACAGUACCUGACUAAGAAGCCCCGGCUAACUACGUGCCAGCAGCCGCGGUAAUACGUAGGGGGCAAGCGUUAUCCGGAAUCACUGGGUGUAAAGGGUGCGUAGGCGGUAGGGCAAGUCAGAUGUGAAAGCCCGGAGCUUAACUCCGGGAUUGCAUUUGAAACUGUUCUACUAGAGUGCAGGAGAGGAAAGCGGAAUUCCUAGUGUAGCGGUGAAAUGCGUAGAUAUUAGGAAGAACACCAGUGGCGAAGGCGGCUUUCUGGACUGUAACUGACGCUGAGGCACGAAAGCGUGGGGAGCGAAC
rnacentral:rRNA from 1 species